CCUACGGGAGGCAGCAGUGAGGAAUAUUGGUCAAUGGACGCAAGUCUGAACCAGCCAAGCAGCGUGCAGGAAGACGGCCCUAUGAGUUGUAAACUGCUUUUAUACGAGGAUAAACUCAGAUACGUGUAGCUGUUUGAAAGUAUCGCACGAAUAAGGAUCGGCUAAUUCCGUGCCAGCAGCCGCGGUAAUACGGAGGGUUCAAGCGUUAUCCGGAUUUAUUGGGUUUAAAGGGUGCGUAGGCGGCCGCUUAAGUUAGAGGUGAAAUCCCGAGGCUCAACUUUGGCAUUGCCGCUGAUACUGUUCGGCUUGAGUGUGGUUGCGGUAGGCGGAAUGCGUGGUGUAGCGGUGAAAUGCUUAGAGAUCACGCAGAACUCCGAUUGCGAAGGCAGUUCACUGUACUGCUACUGACGCUGAGGCUCGAAAGUGUGGGUAUCGAACAGGAUUAGAUACCCCUGUAGUC
rnacentral:rRNA from 1 species